rnacentral:rRNA from 1 species
CGUGCUUAACACAUGCAAGUCGAACGGUGAAGCUCCAGCUUGCUGGGGUGGAUGAGUGGCGAACGGGUGAGUAACACGUGAGUAACCUGCCCCCUUCUUCUGGAUAACUGCUUGAAAGGGUAGCUAAUACGGGAUAUUCUGGCCUGCUCGCAUGGGUGGGUUUGGAAAGGUUUUUUCUGGUGGGGGAUGGGCUCGCGGCCUAUCAGCUUGUUGGUGGGGUGAUGGCCUACCAAGGCGGUGACGGGUAGCCGGCCUGAGAGGGUGGACGGCCACACUGGGACUGAGACACGGCCCAGACUCCUACGGGAGGCAGCAGUGGGGAAUAUUGCACAAUGGGCGCAAGCCUGAUGCAGCGACGCCGCGUGAGGGAUGGAGGCCUUCGGGUUGUAAACCUCUUUCGCCAGUGAAGCAGGCCAUCUUCUUUGUGGGGUGGUUGACGGUAGCUGGAUAAGAAGCGCCGGCUAACUACGUGCCAGCAGCCGCGGUAAUACGUAGGGCGCGAGCGUUGUCCGGAAUUAUUGGGCGUAAAGAGCUCGUAGGCGGCUGGUCGCGUCUGUCGUGAAAUCCCCUGGCUUAACUGGGGGCUUGCGGUGGGUACGGGCCGGCUUGAGUGCGGUAGGGGAGACUGGAAUUCCUGGUGUAGCGGUGGAAUGCGCAGAUAUCAGGAGGAACACCGGUGGCGAA